GUGCUCACGGCAACCACAAGCAUCGUAAGAAAAAGGCUCGUUGAGCUGCACUUGUUUGUACUGUCGCUCUUCCUCUGCUCCUCAAGCGCCACUGCUGUCUCGUGCUGACCUCGACGCACCGACCGUCCUCCAGGCUGCUGCUGGUUCGUGCUACAUAAACAAACAGAGUUAAAGAACAUAGAUGAGAGGAAUUCAGUUCAGGAAGAUUAAAGGGUUAACCUCCUGGGAUACACGAAGUUUCAGUUCGUCGAGAGGCUUCCUGGAGCUUCAAAACAUUUCACUUCACCUUUUUAGGCUUUUUCAGUACAUCUUACAAAGUGUGUUUCCUUUCAUCAUUUUUAUCUACUUAAAAGAAGUGUAGAAACUUGAGGAAAUACCCCCAAAAUCAUGUGUGCCCUCAGCACUCUUCUACGUGCUUGUUCUAAUGCUUAUGAGAAUUAUUCUUCAAGGUCAUAAUUUGGAACUAGAUAACUUUUCAUAGAUGAUUGUACUGAAGCUAGGUGUUUAACAGAAUUAUUUCUCAUAAGUUUGCAAAUCACCUA